UUUCUUUAAAUAAGACAGGUUGUGUCAUAACAACCAACGUUUUAAUUGCCUACUAACCAAUUACUUACUAUAAAAAACAAGAUUCAUCUGUUUUAAUAACUUAUGAGUCCUGUCUUCUUUUAUACUGCAAUCCAUUGCUGGGCAUACUUUAUUUUAAUUUUUUUAACGUGUAACUUUCUACGUCGAAUAAUACUUGUUUUACCUUUAACGCUUGAGAAAUUUCAUCGUGAUGUUGAAGGUUCAUAUCAAGGAACUUUGGCGUAUGUUCGAAGCAAAAAAGUAUUAAUAACGGCAUGCUUUUUAAUCCAUUGCUUUAAAUUAAUUUUUUUGAUCUUCUUUGAUGUUACAUUGACAGCGAUUGACAAAACACGUUUUUACUGGUUUGUUAUUUUCAACUAUUUAACGGAUAAGAGUACGAAGGAAUAUGAAGUGUUUUUACACUCACCCGUUUAUAAAGAUCGACCUAAAACACGCCCUGUGUUAGUCAGCAAACAAAAAAAAAUUUUUUUUGUACGUCAUGGGGAAUCUUUAUGGAAUAAAACAUUCAAUCGACCCAAUGUAUUUGUUUUACCAUUAAGGAUCUUGUAUAUUCUUUUCCUUGAAUUUUUUUUUUUCUUUUCUCACGAUUCAAUUUUAUGUGAUUCACCAUUAAGUACAUCAGGAGAAAAUCAAGCUUUUUUUUUAAAAAAAUGGAUUCAAAAUAAGAAAACGAAAACUUCAACUAACGAUUUUUUUCUAUUAAUUGAUUCCAACAAAGAAAGCAUUGAAAAGAAAGAAAAACUAAACAAUAAUGAAAAGGAUCUAUUCGAUUUGGAUGUAGACUCCUCUCUUAUUGUAGUGUCCAAUUUAAGGCGUGCAAUGAGCACAGCUACAUUGGCCAUGCCAAUAAACCCUCAACAUGAGGAAAGACGAUUAUAUGUGCUCCCUUUUCUACAAGAAGCAACACGUAAUGUAGAUGGGUAUCCAUUAAGCUGCUUGUCCCAAUUUUUCACUUUGUCCCGUAUUUUCCCGUCAUUAGAUACGCCUAAUUCAACAUGGGGUGCCUCAAAAAAUUUUUUUUUAAAAUCGUCAUUAAAUACUACAAAUUCACUAAUGACACUCUUUGAUCAUCAAUAUAAUACGUCUUCCGCGUACGAAUCACUAAGUUUAUUGAAGCGCUUAUCAUUAUUUGCUACAUGGAUAUUUUCGCAAAACACCCCUGCAUCAACUGCUGACACUAUCAUUAUUAUAGGACAUUCCAUUUGGUUACGUAAAUUCCUUGAACGUUAUUUACCGGUAAACGACACAUCAUGUUUUUAUCGCCUUUAAUGAUUUCUCUCACCAAAGCCUGAAUCACAGUGUCCUUAUAAAAAGUGCAAGUUGUCUUGUUGCGGAAUUCUUACAUGCAAUAUCUUAGAGUAUACUAAUCCAACAACACACGAUGUCGAUUAUUGGAUUGAUCCAACCUCAGUUCAAGAGGUUUAUAACGAAUCUAAUGAAAAGCAGUUGUCAAAUUUUCCUUAUUAACGGUAACAUUUUAAAUAACUCAACAGCCACCAAUACUUUACAAAAACCUUAUAACUUUAUGGAAAUACGCAAAUGUAGGUUUUUUUUUUUUAAUUGAAAAAAAGAUUGAAAACAAAUUAAUUUUUAAUAUUAAAAUAAUUGUUAAACAAGCUUAAUAAUUCUCAAAUGAAAUAUGGUAAAACAAACUUUAUUAUUUUUGAAUCAAAAGAAUUGUAAAGCAAGUUUAACUAUUUUUUCAUUAACAUAAUCAUAAAACAAGUGUAAACUUUUCAAGUGA